AUAAGUUUGUCUUUAACACAGAAGCUCAUCCUCUUCCUAUUAAAGGUAACUGAGAGGGACUGAAUGUCUUUUGCAUAUAAAGCAUACAUGUGAAGAAAAACUCUUGCAACUUGUAUUUUGGUGGGAAACAGACUACUACUUUUUGAAAUUUUGUUGGUGCAUCAUUCACAUGUUUGGUCCUGGUUCAAAAUGGCGAUCAGUUAAAGUGGUAUCAAGAAAUGUUAGCAGUGCAAUGAGUCAGUUGUUUGAUCUGUACUCAAUUGUCCACAGAGAAGAACAAUUUUUUGGGGAAAUUCAUUCAUAUGGCCCACCAGAUUAUGGCAUGGUUGUAAGAUGUAAUUGUUAACAUUCUUCAUAAUUAUAUGUGGAUGGGGUUCUUUGCUCCGAAAGUACCGAUUGAAAGUGCAACCAUUUGUAAUUUACUUAUCCAAUUUUCCAGUGCUUACCGCAGUUUUGUUGGCCUAUUUGGACCAGCAGAUGUAUUGCACUUUUUGUUAAUAUUUCUUAAUAUAUUGCUCAAAAUAUCAAGCUAAUCUGCAUGUCUA
rnacentral:misc_RNA from 1 species